GUACAUCCAGAGAACUUAGCAGAGAUGCUUGGUGCCUUCGGGAACUCUGAGACAGGUGCUGCAUGGCUGUCGUCAGCUCGUGUUGUGAAAUGUUGGGUUAAGUCCCGCAACGAGCGCAACCCUUAUCCUUUGUUGCCAGCGGUUCGGCCGGGAACUCAAAGGAGACUGCCGGUGAUAAACCGGAGGAAGGUGGGGAUGACGUCAAGUCAUCAUGGCCCUUACGGCCAGGGCUACACACGUGCUACAAUGGCGCAUACAAAGAGAAGCGACCUCGCGAGAGCAAGCGGACCUCAUAAAAUGCGUCGUAGUCCGGAUUGGAGUCUGCAACUCGACUCCAUGAAGUCGGAAUCGCUAGUAAUCGUAGAUCAGAAUGCUACGGUGAAUACGUUCCCGGGCCUUGUACACACCGCCCGUCACACCAUGGGAGUGGGUUGCAAAAGAAGUAGGUAGCUUAACCUUCGGGAGGGCGCUUACCACUUUGUGAUUCAUGACUGGGGUGAAGUCGUAACAAGGUAAGCGUAGCGAG
rnacentral:rRNA from 1 species